UUGCUUGCUUUGGCAGCACAUAUACUAAAAUUGGAAUGAUACAGAGAAGAUUGGCAUGACCCCUGUGCAAGGAUGACAUGCAAAUUCGUGAAGCAUUCCAUAUUUUA
rnacentral:snRNA from 14 species